CAACAGGUUAGGCGCAUGAGCCCUCCAGUAUAGCAAGGAAGCCAAAGAAGCUUGCCGAGAAAACUCUAAUGUAAAAUAAGAGACAGAGGUAUGAAAAAUUAAGUCUGUCAUCUGAUCUCAACUGCACUCCCUCACCACCAAUCCUGCUUUACACUAAGGAUUGUAGUACCCUAAGCACAUGGUUAUGAAUAUCAUAUGCAAAGAGUGUGACGUUUGCAUCCAGAAAUUGCUGGAAUUUAUUUGAAUCCAUUCUUCCUUCUACCAAUGACACAUUCCCUGCUCCACUAGUUGAAACACAAGCCCAAAACAUGAUUGAUGGACCCCCAUGCUUAAUAUUAAUAGUUGGGGAAGUGAAAUUCAGCACC